GCUGAUAUUAUUAACCAUAUCUUUAGACUUGACAAUUUAUAGAAACUAUAAGUUUUUGUUGAUGAUAACGAACUCCGACCAACAAAUCAUUUUUGUCAAUUUAAUCUACAGGACUAAAUAACUAAUGUCAAAAAGUCAAACGACACCAGAGUUGCAGCAUAUUGAGCCUAAAUAAAACAGCACUUCAGAUUUAGUGUUACUUCAUCGCGUACACAUUGGAAGAUGAUUUUAACCAUCAUACUGAAUGAGGUUUAAGACAACAUCAUAGAUGAUAUGAAUAGGAGAUCUAUCAUCACAUGAUUGCGGAUUUCCGAGAGCGCGUAAAUUAUUAUCAACAGCCGAAUGCGCAAAACAUUAUUACGAUGUUCAGAAGCAGUUCAAAAUCGUUACGACUUGUGACCACCAAGAAAGAACCCGCCUACAGACGCUUCACGGACCGGAAUCAGCAUGUGCAGCAGAUUCGAUUUUUGAAUAUGAAUGAUUUAAAAUAUAUCAUUUCAAUGGGAUAAAUAAUUCUAUUAGAAUGACGUUGCAAAUUUAGUGAAUUUUCUGUUUUACGGCACGGUUGAGAUUACGGCAGUCCGAUGUGAUCUGACGAUGGGUUUCCCUUUACUUAGGUGUCAAUGGCGACAGGACACGUCUAUCAUCUUACCCGGACGCCAAUUUUGGAUCGAUAUUUGUGUUGAAGUAAACAUAAUCAUCCAUAUAUAAGUAGUUGUCUUAGUUUUGAAUUGGAGGCAAUUGGCAACAUUCUGUCACUGAAAGCGCAUUGUAACAAAAUUUUACUAUUGUUUUUUGUAAAAAUGCUGAAGGUGGAAUAUUGCCGAGAAGUCGACUCAGCGAUUGUCAUACAAACUUGGUAAUGUUGUAGGGCUCAGAAAGGUUUUUGAGAUAUUCUUUGUUCUUGGUGUUUUGCGUAAUAUCAUAAGAACGUCAGCAUUGAGGCGUUUUAUUAAUAGAUCUCAUAUUCGCCACUUAAUUUAUCAAGUGACAUUGAUUAUUAUUCACGUGGUCAAUAGAUUGUGGAAAUUCUACCAAAUCUACUAUCUCUCGUUUACUUCUUUUUGAAGUAAAACAGAACAGAUAUGACUAUUUAAAGAGAUUUAUUUGUAGCAUUUUAUUGUACCAAGAUAUCGUUGGUUGUGUGAAUGACCCAACAACACGUACCCAAAUU